UUGCCUCUAGCUAAGUGGUAAAGCACCCAACUCGUAAUUGGAUGAUCGCUGGUUCGAACUUGGCCAGGCGAACCA
rnacentral:tRNA from 2 species